CCUACGGGUGGCUGCAGUGAGGAAUAUUGGACAAUGGGCGCAAGCCUGAUCCAGCCAUGCCGCGUGCAGGAUGACGGUCCUAUGGAUUGUAAACUGCUUUUGCACAGGAAGAAACAUCCCGACGUGUCGGGACUUGACGGUACUGUGAGAAUAAGGAUCGGCUAACUCCGUGCCAGCAGCCGCGGUAAUACGGAGGAUCCAAGCGUUAUCCGGAAUCAUUGGGUUUAAAGGGUCCGUAGGCGGUCUUAUAAGUCAGUGGUGAAAUCUCCCCGCUCAACGGGGAAACGGCCAUUGAUACUGUAGGACUUGAAUUAUUAGGAAGUAACUAGAAUAUGUAGUGUAGCGGUGAAAUGCUUAGAGAUUACAUGGAAUACCAAUUGCGAAGGCAGGUUACUACUAAUGGAUUGACGCUGAUGGACGAAAGCGUGGGUAGCGAACAGGAUUAGAUACCCCUGUAGUC
rnacentral:rRNA from 1 species